rnacentral:rRNA from 1 species
ACUAGGUAGCCGUUGCUGUACUCGGGACAACACUGAUGUGCAAGUUAAUCCUCUACCUCCGGCCAGUCUGCGAUCAAGAUCACUUCUCCAACGUCCACGGUUUCGCCGGGGACCCAUUGGACGGGUCCUGAGCCCCAACGAUAUUUCAGCUCAAUCUCCUGGGCGGUUCGGUCUACGUAGGCGACCUCAAAAGUAACGAGCCCUGGUGGUGGGAGUCCGUGUCUGAUUUCCGCCCUGAACGCACCUUGAGAAUUCGUCCGGGCGGUUAUCAGUUCCGGCUCGCUUUCGCCGUGGUAUACGGCAAUCGUGAGACGGUUUUUUGCGAAGGGGUUCCCAUCUUGGUCAAAGGCAAUACCCGUAACAAAAGCUUGUUUACGCAGUACGAUCGUUCCAAGG